rnacentral:lncRNA from 1 species
AGCAUAAUAUAAAACUUUGCAUGUAAACAGCUUAAUAUAAAACUAUGCGUAUAAGUUUACGAUGAACAACACUAUAGUGACAACAUAAUUACAAUGCGGCGAACGAACAAAAGAGCAUGCCACAGUCUUGGAAACUUGGGAGAACAACUCUAAACUACUACACAAUAAACAUUUAUAUUACUAAAAACGAAGUAUACCAUGCGUCUAAAGUAUUGAAACACCACUACCUCACGUAGAUUUUGACGAGUACGGCUGAUUGUUGAAUCCCUAUAAAUUGUUCAUUAUGAACAAAUUAAAAGGGAAUGAAUAAGAAUAUAUAAAUAACAGCUAUAACAAAAGUAUAUAAAUAUAUGUUGAAGAAAACAAUUAAACCUUGGUAGUAACAGGUACACUUUGUUGAUUGCCACCGCUAGUUUCUCCUGGGGUAAAAGCAACGAACCGCGGCAUGAUGAAGAUGGGAGGGCUAAAAGGGAACCAUGGUGCCGGAAA